CGUUGCCGCUUCUCUUCCAGCUCUCGCAACCGGACGUUCUCCGCGUGCGCCGCCUGGAACGAUCAAUGUGAAGGUGGCAAUGUAACACGCACACACGCUUCAGCUCUACUCAAUAACUGCUACAUAGCUCAACUCACCCCGUGCUGCUUUCUCUGCAUAGCUAAGCUCGUCACCAAAGGACAACACGUCGGGGAACUUCUUCUCUAUCGUCUCAGCCAGAAAGUGGAGAAGGGUUGUCUUCUGGUCAUGCGAUUUUGUUCCUGAAAGCUGAACGGUGCAACACACGGCAUUCGCGCCGCGCACAUUUGGCAGCUGCGUCAUACGGAACAUCGAUACAGCGUUGUAAAAGAGCACGAGAAGGGAAGCCUGGACUAGCUGCAACCCAGCGCCGAGGUCCCCAUGGAGACUGUCGCGGUAACAGUACAUUCAGCCCAAGUUGACGAAGAGGGGUUUCCGAAAGUCGUCGCCUUUGACUUAUAAACCUGCUAUACGACAUUCUACGAAGACUUCUUCGACGGUUCCAGGUUCACUGUAUACAACAAUAACAACGACGAGCAUAAGCAGAACCAGACGUGUUCGAAUGAAAAAUUUAGCGCCUCUUUCUCGCGUCCUCUCGUCGUCUUCGUACUUUUUCGUGCUGAUCUGCUCUACUUCAUGAACACAAUCAACAACUCUUCUAAAUCACCUGUGGCAUAAGAUAAAGAAAUAAGAUGA
rnacentral:lncRNA from 1 species